AAUGUCAGUCGAAUGUAUAUCGGCAGAUGCCAUCUUACUACUCGCAUGCAGAAAGAUGUUUCAUAUUAAUGUAUUUUUCCAGCAUACAAGUCAAUAUGUCUGUUUUCCUCCAAGAAGAGAAGAGGUAGAGAACAACGCAAUCCACAGAAUAUCUGCUCCUUCAAAGUUAUAACUGAGUUGCUGUAUGAAAGGGCCACUUUUCUGCUCAUCAAUGAUUUCUGAGGUCUUGCUAGAUACAAAGAAGAUUGAUUUGAUACAUUGCAUAUCAGAGGGCAAGAUGAACUACCACCUUAGAAAUAGUAAACAAGCAUGAAGGCUCUAAUUUGGGACUAAAGCAACAUUUAAAACGUUUUUCUGACUCCACUACAUCCGUGACAUGACAGGCUAAUAAUCUGGGACACAACUGGUAACAUUUGAUCUGAUAUCCCAUUAAACUACUUCAUCACAAGGACAGUUUUCAAUAAAAUGUAUUUUCUACAUU